rnacentral:rRNA from 1 species
CCUACGGGAGGCAGCAGUGAGGAAUAUUGGUCAAUGGACGAGAGUCUGAACCAGCCAAGUAGCGUGAAGGAUGACUGCCCUAUGGGUUGUAAACUUCUUUUAUAUGGGAAUAAAACGUUCCACGUGUGGGAUUUUGUAUGUACCAUAUGAAUAAGGAUCGGCUAACUCCGUGCCAGCAGCCGCGGUAAUACGGAGAAUCUGAGCGUUAUCCGGAUUUAUUGGGUUUAAAGGGAGCGUAGGUGGAUUGUUAAGUCAGUUGUGAAAGUUUGCUGAUCAACCGUAAAAUUGCAGUUGAAACUGGCAGUCUUGAGUACAGUAGAGGCGGGCGGAAGUCGUGGUGUAGCGGUGAAAGGCUUAGAUAUCACGAAGAACUCCGAUUGCGAAGGCAGUUCACUGGACUGCAACUGACACUGAGGCUCGAAAGUGUGGGUAUCAAACAGGAUUAGAUACCCUUGUAGUC